rnacentral:sRNA from 1 species
CCUAAAUUCCUUUAUAUUGCCUUAGUAUUAAGGAUAAUAUUAUCUUGCAUAAUCUUCCUCUGAAAUAUUUAUUACUUCCCUUCUUAAUGAUUUGGAAAAGCAGUGUAUUUUAGAUAAUAUCUUCUUACAGAUACUCCAAGUAUCACAGCCAAAUUAAUUAGUGAACAAAAAGAUGACAAAGAAAAGAAAAACCAUGAAGAGAAAGAAAAAGUUAAAGCGGAAAAUGGAUUUCAAGACAAUUACAGUGUUGUUGUUGCCUCUGGGCUGAAGUCUCAAUCUAAACGUGCUGUGUCAGCUACACCACCUCGCCCACCAUCCAGGAGGGGGAGGACAAUACCUGAUAAAAUAGGAAGUACUUCAGGAGCAGAGGCUGCCAACAAAAUAAUUACUGUCCCAGUGUUUCACCUGUUUCACAAACUCUUGGCAGGCCAGCCAUUGCCAGCUGAAAUGACACUUGCCCAGCUUUUAACCCUCCUAUAUGACCGAAAGCUUCCUCAGGGUUACCGCUCAAUAGAUCUGACUGUUAAAUUGGGAUCAAGAGUUAUAACAGACCCCAGUCUAUCAAAAACAGAUUCUUAUAAAAGACUACACCCUGAAAAAGAUCAUGGAGACUUACUUGCUAGCUGUCCAGAAGAUGAAGCUCUCACUCCAGGUGAUGAAUGCAUGGAUGGGAUACUGGAUGAAUCUUUGCUUGAAACCUGUCCAAUUCAGUCACCAUUACAAGUUUUUGCAGGAAUGGGUGGACUGGCUCUUAUUGCUGAAAGACUACCCAUGCUAUAUCCAGAAGUAAUUCAACAGGUGAGUGCUCCAGUUGUAACAUCUACCACUCAGGAAAAGCCGAAGGAUAGCGAUCAGUUUGAAUGGGUGACCAUUGAACAGUCAGGGGAGUUAGUUUAUGAAGCACCAGAAACUGUUGCGGCUGAACCUCCACCUAUCAAGUCAGCAGUACAGACCAUGUCUCCCAUACCUGCCCAUUCUUUGGCUGCUUUUGGAUUAUUUCUUCGUCUUCCGGGCUAUGCGGAAGUGCUACUGAAAGAGAGAAAACAUGCCCAGUGCCUUCUUCGAUUGGUAUUGGGAGUGACUGAUGAUGGAGAAGGAAGUCAUAUUCUUCAAUCUCCAUCAGCCAAUGUGCUUCCAACCCUUCCUUUCCACGUCCUUCGUAGCUUGUUUAGCACUACACCUUUGACAACUGAUGAUGGUGUACUUCUAAGGCGGAUGGCAUUGGAAAUUGGAGCCUUACACCUCAUUCUUGUCUGUCUCUCUGCUUUGAGCCACCAUGCCCCACGAGUUCCAAACUCUAGCGUGAAUCAAACUGAGCCACAGGUGUCAAGCUCUCAUAACCCUACAUCAACAGAAGAACAACAGUUAUAUUGGGCCAAAGGGACUGGCUUUGGAACAGGCUCUACAGCUUCUGGGUGGGAUGUGGAACAAGCCUUAACUAAGCAAAGGCUGGAAGAGGAACAUGUUACCUGCCUUCUGCAGGUUCUUGCCAGUUACAUAAAUCCCGUCAGUAGUGCGGUAAAUGGAGAAGCUCAGUCAUCUCAUGAGACUAGAGGGCAGAACAGUAAUGCCCUUCCUUCUGUACUUCUCGAGCUUCUCAGUCAGUCCUGCCUCAUCCCAGCCAUGUCAUCUUAUCUGCGAAAUGAUUCAGUUCUGGACAUGGCAAGACAUGUGCCACUCUAUCGGGCACUGCUGGAAUUGCUUCGGGCCAUUGCUUCUUGUACUGCCAUGGUGCCCCUAUUGUUGCCCCUUUCUACAGAGAACGGUGAAGAGGAAGAAGAACAGUCAGAAUGUCAAACUUCUGUUGGUACAUUGUUAGCCAAAAUGAAGACCUGUGUUGAUACCUAUACCAACCGUUUAAGGGCAGUGAUCACAACCAGAUUCAACGUAUGCACAAAGCAGCGGAUACCAUGGUAGCGGCCGUCGCUGAUUGCUUUUACCAUGUUGGAUCCAUUGUCAGUCUCAAAGACCUACUUCCAGCUAGGUGCCUUGAACUCAAAUAGCUUUUCACACAGACUUCAGGAUGUGAGCUAAGAUCUAAAAGGGAAAAUGUUAAAACAGGAGUAAAACCAGAUGCGUCUGAUCAAGAACCAGAAGGACUUACUCUUUUGGUACCCGACAUCCAAAAGACUGCUGAGAUAGUUUAUGCAGCCACCACCAGUUUGCGGCAAGCAAAUCAGGAAAAAAAACUGGGUGAAUACUCCAAGAAGGCGGCUAUGAAACCCAAACCUUUGUCAGUAUUAAAGUCACUUGAAGAAAAAUAUGUGGCUGUUAUGAAGAAAUUACAGUUCGAUACAUUUGAAAUGGUUUCUGAAGAUGAAGAUGGGAAAUUGGGAUUUAAAGUAAAUUACCACUACAUGUCUCAGGUGAAAAAUGCUAAUGAUGCGAACAGUGCUGCCAGAGCUCGCCGCCUUGCCCAGGAAGCUGUGACACUUUCAACCUCACUGCCUCUGUCUUCAUCCUCUAGUGUGUUUGUACGCUGUGAUGAGGAGCGACUUGACAUCAUGAAGGUUCUAAUAACUGGUCCAGCGGACACCCCUUAUGCAAAUGGCUGCUUUGAGUUUGAUGUGUAUUUUCCUCAAGAUUAUCCCAGUUCACCCCCUCUUGUGAAUCUAGAGACAACUGGUGGUCAUAGCGUGCGAUUCAAUCCAAACCUUUAUAAUGAUGGCAAGGUUUGUUUAAGCAUCUUAAACACGUGGCAUGGAAGACCAGAAGAGAAGUGGAAUCCUCAGACCUCAAGCUUUUUGCAAGUGUUGGUGUCUGUCCAGUCCCUUAUAUUAGUAGCUGAGCCUUAUUUUAAUGAACCGGGAUAUGAACGGUCUAGAGGCACUCCCAGUGGCACACAGAGUUCUCGAGAAUAUGAUGGAAACAUUCGACAAGCAACAGUUAAGUGGGCAAUGCUAGAACAAAUCAGAAACCCUUCACCAUGUUUUAAAGAGGUAAUACACAAACAUUUUUACUUGAAAAGAGUUGAGAUAAUGGCCCAAUGUGAGGAGUGGAUUGCGGAUAUCCAGCAGUACAGCAGUGAUAAGCGGGUAGGCAGGACUAUGUCUCACCAUGCAGCAGCUCUCAAGCGUCACACUGCUCAGCUCCGCGAAGAGUUGCUGAAACUUCCCUGCCCUGAAGGCUUGGAUCCUGACACUGAUGAUGCCCCAGAGAUGUGCAGAGCCACAACAGGUGCUGAGGAGACUCUAAUGCAUGAUCAGGUUAAACCCAGCAGCAGCAAAGAACUCCCCAGUGACUUCCAGUUAUGAGCUGCAUUGAUGUGGACUUCAUAGACACAAAGGCUUCGAAGCACAAGCCAAAUAUGUCAAUAUUUGUAUGUAAGAAACUAAUUAUGUAAUAGGUAAUGAAACUGAAACUAUACUAUGCCCUUAAGGAGAUCCAGUUUAAUUCAAGGUGAUCUUUUAUUUACCUGUACAGGAGUGUAAACUUUUUUGUGCUUUUAUUUUUCAAUUGUGAGAACCACUGAUUGGUAUGUUCAACAAAUUUGUGUAUACAAAGAAAUGGAUAAAUCACUGCUAUAUAAGGGAAACUACCUUAGGAAAGAAUGUUUACUGAAUGUUUAUUUUAUUUUAUUUUUUACUGUAGAGUGAGGGGUUGUUAACAAAGAAUAUAUAUUGGUCAUUCUUACAACUACUAUUUAAAGUCAGCAACUUUUCACUGAAUUUGAUAGAUUUUAUGUUUGGCCAUAUCUUCAUGCUCACAUUUGAUUUCUGAAGACCUCCUACAUACACUUCAAUAAAAGUUAAAUGGACAUACUCCCUCUUUUUUGAUUUACUGGUACAUUUUUAAAAUAAUAAAUCUGCCAUAAAAUGCAUUAUAUCUCGAGACUUGCACUUGUAUGGAUGAAUUUAUUACAUUCAACAUAUUUAAUUUUAUGCCUUCUAAUUCUAAGAUGCAGAAAAAAAUAAAUGAACAUGAUUUUAUUCUAUGCCAACAUUUGGGCCUCUGAAUGUAUCUGUUAUUUGAAUUUAAGUAUUUGAAAAGGAAUGGUCAAUUUGAAAGUCAUUCUAAACUGAUUUUUUUUCUAAAGGGCUCCUUUUUUGCUGGACUAUGUGGUUUUAUGACUAAAGUCACAUGUAUGUAUUAAACAUUGAGGCUCUGUAGAGGAGAGAGGAUGUACCUCUCUGGUGCUGUUACAGUACAUUCUGUACCUGCCAUACAGGCUCAUUUUCAUGCAAAUUCUUCCUAGAGCCAAAUAAAUAAAGACUUAGGUG